GCGGGUGUAGUUCAAUGGUAUAACACCAGCCUUCCAAGCUGGAUACGUGGGUUCGAUUCCCAUCACCCGCU
rnacentral:tRNA from 1 species